rnacentral:pre_miRNA from 1 species
UUUAACGUUUGAUUGUUUGUUUUAAUUAAAAGCUUUUAUGAUUAGUAUUUUUAUGGUUAUUAGAUGAUAAAAUAUAAAUGAUAAUUUAUGUGUAACUAUUUUUAAAAGAAAUUCCUAUAAUUUUUUAAAAUAAGACGAAUGAUCAAACGUUAGACGUAGAAUUUCA